AUCCAUUACAGUGUUCUCUUUGGUUAUUGUUUGGGGGUUCUUGUCUUGCAAACGCCCUAUUUUCUCCGAGUUUUUGUUAUUAAAUUACUGAGAAUUGAAGAUGGCGAUCUCUACAUCUCACCUGUUAAGGCAAGUGCAGGAAGCUCACGAGUUUGACCGUGACGCUUUGUUUCGCUACGCCUCUGCUAAUGUCGCUGGUUUCCCUGCCUCUCCCUCCACUUUCAUUGUCAAACAGUUUGGGCAUGGACAAUCGAACCCCACGUUUCUUUUAGAAGCGGCAACCGGAGUUUCUGUAAAACGGUACGUUUUGAGGAAGAAGCCUCCUGGCAAAUUGCUCCAGUCUGCCCAUGCCGUGGACAGAGAGUAUCUGGUUCUGCGGGCGCUGGGUGAACACACACAAGUUCCGGUUCCUAAAGUAUUCUGUUUGUGUACGGAUCCAAAAGUGAUUGGAACUGCAUUUUACAUUAUGGAAUAUUUGGAAGGACGCGUUUUUAUAGACCCCAAGCUACCGGGCGUGGCACCUGAGAGGAGGGGGGCAAUAUAUCGAGAAACUGCCAGAGCGUUGGCUGCUUUACAUUCCGUUGAUGUGGAUGCUAUUGGACUUGGGAAAUAUGGGCGGCGAUAUAACUAUUGUAAACGACAGGUAGAGAGAUGGACUAGACAAUACAUUGCAUCAACUGGUGAGGGUAAGUCUCCGAGGAAUCCAAAGAUGUUGGAGCUCUCUGAUUGGUUGCUGCAACAUAUUCCCUCUGAAGAUUCUUCAGGAGCAUCAGCAGGCCUUGUUCAUGGAGACUUUCGCAUUGAUAAUGUUGUAUUUCAUCCCACUGAGGAUAGGGUGAUUGGUGUUCUUGACUGGGAAUUGUCCACUCUUGGUAAUCAGAUGAGUGAUGUUGCAUACAGCUGUUUGGUAUCAAGCCUUCUUUUCUUCAUUCUUUCUAUAUUUCUUUUCUACCCUGGGAUGCAGAUGCUGUAAUACUCUGCUUAAGCUCCACUUUUGAUGAAUUCCAUAGGUUUACUUUUUAUUUAGUGGCAUAUCUAAGUUCAUUUCUUUUUUCUGUUUGGCAGGCUUAUAUUGUCGAUGUUAACCUUGAUAAUCAACAAUUGGAAAAAGGCUUUGAACUUACUGGAGUUCCGGAAGGGAUUCCUUCACAGGCAGAGUAUCUGGCGGAAUACUGCUGUGCAUCUGUAAGAUCCAUUCUGAAGCUUUGAUUUAAUUGUGCUGGCUGCAAAUAUCUUUCAAAUUUCAAUUCUUCUGAGCGAAUCAAAGUAUCUAGAAGACGUAUGCAGUAAGAUCUAGUUGUUGCAAUACUGAUAGGCUACAAGUAUCAAUCAAUUAGGUUUGCAGACUAUAUGUUCUAAAUUCUCUUUUUAUUGAUUUCUCCACAACUUUCUCAAUGUAAUUGUAGUGUUUAAAAAACUAGGGGAAACUGGCCUCUAAAUUCAAGUAAAACUUACAAAUGUUGGUGAGGAUUGGGUUCAGCAAAUCUUUACUCUCCCAUAACAAUGGAGCUAAUGGUGCAUAUGACCAGGCAAUUUGGCUGAACUGAUUUGGAAGAUUUUUUCUUUACUGUUGAAAUAUUGCAAUCUAGGGAACACUAUGGCCAGCCAACGUAUGGAAGUUCUAUGUUGCAUUUGCUAUGUUCCGAGGGGUAUCUAUCUAUGCUGGGAUACAUAGUCGAUGGAUUGUGGGUAAUGCUACAGGAGGUGAGCGUGCCCGAAAUGCAGGAAAUCUUGCUAAUGGUCUUAUAGACUCUGCAUGGGAUUUUAUUGCGAGAAAAUCUGUGCUGCCUCUUCAACCUCCAUCAGAUCCAAUCGCACAGGAUAACAUAAAACGAUUUGGUGGGGAGAAUGAAGUUCAAGGCCUGUCAGAAGUUAAUGGGAGGUUUGUUCCCAGCAAAAAGGUGGUUGAAUUGAGGAAAAAAUUAAUCAAGUUUAUGGAAGAUCACAUUUACCCGAUGGAAAAUGAGUUCUACAAGCUUGCCCAGUCUUCAUCACGUUGGACAGUGCACCCAGGGGAGGAGAGGCUGAAGGAACUGGCAAAGAAAGAAGGGCUAUGGAACUUAUGGAUACCUGUAUUUUAUUUUUUCACAUCUUACCAGGCUGUGUUUGUCUUUCUACUGUUAUUACGAUUUCUAAUAGUAAGAAAAAUCACAAACUUCUCGUGAACGUGCAUUUUUCUGCAGUUUGAUAGUGCUGAAAGAGCAAGAAAACUGAUCUUUGAUGGAAUAAGUUAUGCUGUCUCCAAUGAUGCCCAUGAUCAAUUACUUGGUGCAGGCCUCUCGAACCUUGAAUAUGGAUACCUUUGUGAGAUCAUGGGUCGUUCUGUUUGGGCUCCACAGGUGUUCAAUUGUGGUGCACCUGACACUGGAAAUAUGGAGGUAUUGCUGCGAUAUGGGAACAAAGAACAACUACUCAAAUGGCUUAUACCAAUUCUUGAGGGAAGGAUUCGUUCUGGAUUUGCAAUGACAGAACCACAAGUUGCAUCAUCUGAUGCUACAAAUAUUGAGUGUUCUAUUAGAAGGCAAGGGGAUUCCUAUAUCAUCAAUGGGAACAAGUGGUGGACGAGUGGAGCUAUGGAUCCAAGGUGUAGACUUCUUAUAGUAAUGGGAAAAACUGACUUCACCACUGCUAAGCAUAAGCAGCAAUCCAUGAUCUUGGUGGAUAUUCAGACUCCAGGCAUACACAUAGAGAGACCACUCAUGGUCUUUGGCUUUGAUGAUGCACCUCAUGGUCAUGCUGAAAUUUCAUUUGAAAAUGUACGUGUGCCUGCAAAAAAUAUCCUCCUGGGAGAAGGACGUGGAUUUGAGAUUGCUCAGGGUAGACUGGGCCCGGGAAGAUUGCAUCAUUGCAUGAGAUUGAUAGGUGCUGCUGAGCGUGGAAUGCAAUUGAUGGUUGAAAGGGCUCUCAGUAGAAGAGCAUUUGGAAAAUUGAUUUCUGAACAUGGUUCAUUUCGUUCAGACAUUGCCAAGUGUCGAGUGGAGUUAGAGAAAACGAGAUUGUUGGUUUUGGAGGCAGCGGACCAGCUUGAUCGACUUGGGAAUAAGAAGGCCCGUGGGACUAUUGCAAUGGCCAAGGUAGCAGCUCCAAACAUGGCACUCAUGGUGCUUGACAUGGCAAUGCAAGUGCAUGGUGCAGCUGGUCUAUCAUCUGACACCGUUUUGUCACAUCUUUGGGCUACAGCUAGAACUUUGAGAAUUGCAGAUGGUCCUGACGAAGUCCACUUGGGUACCAUUGCCAAGUUGGAAUUGCAGAGAGCUAAGCUUUGAAAACUUUGGAGUAAUUAGCUCUUUUUUUUUUUUAAUUAAUUGAAGAUAAAAGAGGGCAAAAAAUAAGUUACAACAAAAAAAAAAAUCUGAUUUGAGAGAUAAAUGGUGGAUCUUUGUAAUUACUAAUAAGUUCCAAACAUUUCUUUGAUGUGUAAAAGAGGAGAAUAAUGGCGAUACCUCAAUAGCAUAUAAUUAAUCUUCAAUUUGAU
rnacentral:misc_RNA from 1 species